GAUGAACGCUGGCGGCGUGCCUAAUACAUGCAAGUCGAGCGAACAGACGAGGAGCUUGCUCCUCUGACGUUAGCGGCGGACGGGUGAGUAACACGUGGAUAACCUACCUAUAAGACUGGGAUAACUUCGGGAAACCGGAGCUAAUACCGGAUAACAUGUUGAACCGCAUGGUUCAACAGUGAAAGACGGUCUUGCUGUCACUUAUAGAUGGAUCCGCGCCGCAUUAGCUAGUUGGUAAGGUAACGGCUUUCCAAGGCAACGAUGCGUAGCCGACCUGAGAGGGUGAUCGGCCACACUGGAACUGAGACACGGUCCAGACUCCUACGGGAGGCAGCAGUAGGGAAUCUUCCGCAAUGGGCGAAAGCCUGACGGAGCAACGCCGCGUGAGUGAAGAAGGUCUUCGGAUCGUAAAACUCUGUUAUUAGGGAAGAACAAAUGUGUAAGUAACUAUGCACGUCUUGACGGUACCUAAUCAGAAAGCCACGGCUAACUACGUG
rnacentral:rRNA from 1 species